AGCAGCCGCGGUAAUUCCAGCUCCAAUAGCGUAUAUUAAAGUUGUUGCAGUUAAAAAGCUCGUAGUUGAAUUUCGGGGUUAGUAGGUUGGUCGUGCCUCUGGUAUGUACUCGCCUUACUGAUUCCUCCUCCUUGAAGAACUGUAAUGCCAUUAAUUUGGUGCUGCAGGGAAACAGGACUGUUACUUUGAAAAAUUAGAGUGUUUAAAGCAGGCUGAUGCCUGAAUACAUUAGCAUGGAAUAAUGAAAUAGGACGUUGAUCCUAUUUUGUUGGUUUCUAGGAUUGACGUAAUGAUUAAUAGGGAUAGUUGGGGGCAUUAGUAUUCAAUUGUCAGAGGUGAAAUUCUUGGAUUUAUUGAAGACUAACUACUGCGAAAGCAUUUGCCAAGGAUGUUUUCAUUAAUCAAGAACGAAAGUUAGGGGAUCGAAGACGAUCAGAUACCGUCGUAGCCUUAACCAUAAACUAUGCCGACUAGGGAU
rnacentral:rRNA from 1 species